rnacentral:rRNA from 1 species
GACGAACGCUGGCGGCGUGCUUAACACAUGCAAGUCGAACGGAAAGGCCCUUCGGGGUGCUCGAGUGGCGAACGGGUGAGUAACACGUGGGUGAUCUGCCCUGCACUUUGGGAUAAGCCUGGGAAACUGGGUCUAAUACCGAAUAGGAUCACGGGCUUCAUGGUCUGUGGUGGAAAGCUUUUGCGGUGUGGGAUGGGCCCGCGGCCUAUCAGCUUGUUGGUGGGGUAAUGGCCUACCAAGGCGACGACGGGUAGCCGGCCUGAGAGGGUGACCGCCCACACGGGGACUGCGAUGCGGCCCAGACUCCUACGGGAGGCAGCAGUGGGGAAUAUUGCACAAUGGGCGCAAGCCGGAUGCAGCGACGCGGCGUGAGGGAUGACGGCCUUCGGGUUGUAAACCUCUUUCGCCAGGGACGAAGCGCAAGUGACGGUACCUGGAGAAGAAGGACCGGCCAACUACGUGCCAGCCGCCGCGGUAACAC